rnacentral:rRNA from 1 species
AUGCAUGAAGUGACCCUACGUCGCAUAAUGUUGGUUAGACUAGCCAAGAGCAUAGAUAUGGACAUGAAAUCCAUUACCAUCGGUAAAACGCCAAUUCCUAUAACAAAAGAGGACGUGCAAGGUAUAUUUGGCAUUCCGAUAGAAGGGGAGGAUAUAGAGCCACAUCUGGAAAAUCAAACCGACACAGAAUUAUUUACCGCCUAUGCAAACAAUGGGAAAAUUUUGAUUUCUGACCUUGAAACGGCGAUCCGAGCUUCCAAAGCCCCAGACGGUGAUUUCCUGAGACGGCUCAUUCUGUACGCAAUUGGUACUAUUCUAGCACCAACAUCACAACAUUAUGUGGACUCGAAAUAUCUCAACCUUGUUACAGAUCUUGAAAACCUUCGAAAAUUUAACUGGGGAUGUUUCACACUUAAUCACUUCUUCAAGUCCGUUUACAAGUUUAGAAAUCGAGAUCACGUAAAUCUACAAGGAAAUCUAAUUCUGCUCCAGUAUUGGUACUGGGAGCACGUGCGUAGUGGCCGAUUAAUGUAUGCUUCUAGACCCCCUCCAUUGAUCGCACGAUCGAACAAAAUGAUGGCUACUAUAAGAAGCGACGCUUACGAGAAAGGAGGUCUUCAUAACGGGCUGAUUGAAAUGGUAGUUGAAGUCAUGAAUGCACGCAUUGCUGAUCAUGAAAAGAAGGUAGGCAGGAAGUUAAUGGAAAAUGAGCACAGAUUUGAUGUCAAAUACCAGACUCUAGGUGAAGACUUGAUCGACAUGAAGACUAAAACUGGCACUAAUCCUAGGUUGUCGAAGGCCGAGGACGAAAUUAAAAAGUUAAGGAGGGAACUCCAUACUUAA